rnacentral:lncRNA from 1 species
GAACUUUCCAUCUUACCUACUUUUUGGACUUUAAGACCAUAAAGGACUUCCUCUGCUGAGGACCCAAACUGAACCCCAAGGCCAGACAGUAUUCUUGAUAUACCACUGUAUGCUGCACAGUAUAUUUAUUGACUGCAGAUGGAAGCACAUUGCUAAGGAAUGGAAAGCUGCAAGAUAGAACAUGCCCUUCACCUGCGUGGUUGCAUAGAAACCAGUCGUUUGUCCAAAUCUUAAAGAACUCAAGUGGAAAGCAUACUUAAAAAUGUAAAGGUUAGAAUCACAAACUACAGUUUGAAUUGAAAUGACUGAAAGAUUGUUUCAAGAAUAUAAGAAUUCUAUCUAAAAGAAGUGAAUGAAAGGUAUAUUCUGGCUGGAGUGCAAUGGCGCGAUCUCAGCUCACCGCAACCUCCACCUCCCGGCUUCAGGUGAUUCUCCUGCCUCAGCCUCCUGAGUAGCUGGGAUUACCAGUGUAUGUAUGAGGAAGUGCCCACAGGAGUGUGCCUCCGGGAUGAAGCAAAGCAACAGAGAUCCAAGCAGGAGAG